rnacentral:rRNA from 1 species
UACGGAGGGUGCAAACGUUGCUCGGAAUCAUUGGGCGUAAAGCGCGCGUAGGCGGCUUGAUAAGUCGGAUGUGAAAUCCCUCGGCUUAACCGGGGAAGUGCAUUCGAAACUGUCAAGCUUGAGUAUGGGAGAGGAUUGCGGAAUUCCCGGUGUAGAGGUGAAAUUCGUAGAUAUCGGGAGGAACACCAGAGGCGAAGGCGGCAAUCUGGACCAAUACUGACGCUGAGGUGCGAAAGCGUGGGGAGCAAACAGG